GGCAUGGCCUAGUGAUAAGAGCACUUGAUUGGGAUUCAAGAGACACAAGUUCUAAUCCUGGUUCUGCCA
rnacentral:tRNA from 1 species